rnacentral:rRNA from 1 species
AGUGAGCGCGAUAAGGGCAUUCGGUGGAUGCCUUGGCACCAGGAGGCGAUGAAGGACGUAGCACGCUGCGAAAAGCUACGGGGAGCCGCGAGCAGGCUUUGAUCCGUAGAUAUCCGAAUGGGGCAACCCACCCGCAAGGGUAUCGUGGUCUGAAUACAUAGGACUACGAGGCGAACCCGGGGAACUGAAACAUCUCAGUACCUGGAGGAAAAGACAUCAAUUGAGAUUCUGCUAGUAGUGGCGAGCGAACGCGG